CAAGUUGGUCUCUAUGGCUAACCAAAGAAAAUCCAUUACUUGUUUAUGUUUAUUAUGUCGAGAACACCUGAUCAAACCAGCUGUGGAACAGUGAUUCACCAUUUAAAGACAGAUGGCAGAGAUCCUCUGGACACAAAGGAAACAGGCACAGGACCGGAAUAACCAAGACCCUGCAGAAAAAUCAGUACAUGCUGUUUUCCAGGACUUACUCAAGCCAUGGGUGGGUGAGUGCACCUCUGACAUUGAACUUUCUAUCAAAAAGCAAAAAGUGAUUUCAUCUUUAUCAGGUGAAACCUGCACCAUUUGCAUAAACAGUCACUACUCUUUUUUAUUAAAUUAGUGUACUUUGUUUAAAACCUUAUAUUAUUAUUAUCUAUUCAUUCAUUUGCCUUUACUGAUUAUCCUUAUCAGGUAUGUGGUGGAUCCCUGGAACAGUGGACAUGAGCUUGAACAAUUCAUCCCAGAUGGGAAAAGAACAGAAUACACCAAUGAUUUUUUUGUGCAGAUCAAUUUCUCGUCAUUUGAUUACAUUGUAUCAUAUUUGCAUCUACAAUCUGUGGAAUAAAACAAAGCAGAAAUGUU